CUUAGUUCAGUGGUAGAACAUCGGCUUCCCAAGCCGAAUAUACGGGUUCGAUUCCCGCAGGG
rnacentral:tRNA from 3 species